AAACAUGUCUUUUUGAGGUUUAUUUAAAGUCUGACCUGCCCACUGAAUAAUUUUAAAUGGCCGCAGUAUUUUGACUGUGCAAAGGUAGCAUAAUCAUUAGUCUUUUAAUUGAAGGCUGGUAUGAACGGUUGGACGAAGUAUAAGCUGUUUCAUAUAAAUUUAUAAUAGAAUUUUAUAUUUUAGUUAAAAAGCUAAAAUUUUAUUAAAAGACGAGAAGACCCUAUAAAUCUUUAUAAUUAAUAUUUAACUAAAUUUUUUUGAUUAGGUUUAUUUUUUUAUUAUUAAUUAUUUUGUUGGGGUGAUAUUAAAAUUUAAUGAACUUUUAAUUUUUAAAAUCAUUAAUUUAUGAAUUAUUGAUCCAUUAAUAGUGAUUAUAAGAUUAAGUUACUUUAGGGAUAACAGCGUAAUUUUUUUUGAGAGUUCAUAUCGACAAAAAAGUUUGCGACCUCGAUGUUGGAUUAAGGUAUAAUUUUGGGUGUAGCCGUUCAAAAAUUAAGUCUGUUCGACUUUUAAAUCCUUACAUGAUC
rnacentral:rRNA from 2 species